GACGAACGCUGGCGGCGUGCUUAACACAUGCAAGUCGAGCGGUAAGGCCCUUCGGGGUACACGAGCGGCGAACGGGUGAGUAACACGUGGGUGAUCUGCCUCGCACUCUGGGAUAAGCCUGGGAAACUGGGUCUAAUACCGGAUAUGACCUUACAUCGCAUGGUGUUUGGUGGAAAGAUUUAUCGGUGCGAGAUGGGCCCGCGGCCUAUCAGCUUGUUGGUGGGGUAAUGGCCUACCAAGGCGACGACGGGUAGCCGGCCUGAGAGGGCGACCGGCCACACUGGGACUGAGACACGGCCCAGACUCCUACGGGAGGCAGCAGUGGGGAAUAUUGCACAAUGGGCGAAAGCCUGAUGCAGCGACGCCGCGUGAGGGAUGACGGCCUUCGGGUUGUAAACCUCUUUCGACAGGGACGAAGCGCAAGUGACGGUACCUGUAGAAAAAGCACCGGCCAACUACGUG
rnacentral:rRNA from 1 species